rnacentral:lncRNA from 1 species
ACAUUCAUUUCCACUCUGAAGAGGCAUAAGGGGCUGCAAGGUGGCACAGUGGGUAAUAGGAUCGCUUCACAGCAAGAAGGUCGCCGGUUUCUGUGUGGAGUUUGCAUGUUCUCCCCGUGUCUGCGUGGUUUUCCUCCAGGUGCUCCAGUUUUCCCCACAAGCCCAAAGACAUGCACUAUAGGUGAAUUAAGGAUCCCAACCCCAAAUCCCCCAACAACCUCCCUUGGAGAUUUGCUUCAUUCUUGUCUGUCACUGUGCUGCUUAUGUGCGAGACGCUGCAGGAGAAGCUACACCCAUCAUAGCAAUACUUUCUGGAACAGUUCUCCGUGGGACUCGAACACAUCGUCGUAGUCAGUUGCUCUCUGCAUCUCAAGUCCACCGACGUACAUGGCGAGCAAACUGGACAAACUGGUAACAGCGGGAAAGCCAUCUAAACAGAGACUAAAACUCAUCAGCAGCAAGUUGUCUAGAUGAAGGCCAGAAACUGUGAAAGACUGAACACAGCACGUGUAAAGAUGUCAGCUAAAGAAGUGAAACGACCUGUGUGCCUGCAAACAAUGAGAGGCCUUCAGCGGUCGAGAGGUGACAGUUUCAACAGAAAGCCGCAAGGGGAAUCAAUACAGUGCAAACUACAAUUUCACUGUCCGAUCAUCGACCAUCAGCCCUGGCCGAUCGGAUGAUACCCUGGCUGGUUGUAUUC